UACAGAGGGUGCAAGCGUUAAUCGGAAUUACUGGGCGUAAAGGGCGCGUAGGUGGGUUGAUAAGUUAGAUGUGAAAUACCUGGGCUUAACCUGGGAGGGUCAUUUAAUACUGUCAAUCUGGAGUAUGGUAGAGGGUAGUGGAAUUUCCGGUGUAGCGGUGAAAUGCGUAGAUAUCGGAAGGAACAUCAAUGGCGAAGGCAGCUACCUGGACUGAUACUGACACUGAGGCGCGAGAGCGUGGGUAGCAAACAGG
rnacentral:rRNA from 1 species